rnacentral:rRNA from 1 species
AUACGGAGGGUGCAAGCGUUAAUCGGAAUUACUGGGCGUAAAGCGCGCGUAGGCGGUUUGGUUAGUUGGAUGUGAAAGCCCAGGGCUUAACCUUGGAACUGCAUCCAAUACUGCCAGGCUAGAGUACGGUAGAGGGGGGUAGAAUUCCACGUGUAGCGGUGAAAUGCGUAGAGAUGUGGAGGAAUACCAGUGGCGAAGGCGGCCCCCUGGACUGAUACUGACGCUAAGGUGCGAAAGCGUGGGGAGCAAACAGGAUUAGAAACCCCGGUAGUCC